UUCCCUUAGUAACUGCGAGUGAAGAGGGAAAAGCUCAAAUUUAAAAUCUGGCAGUGUUUCACUGUCCGAGUUGUAAGAAGUGUANCCUGCGCUGGACCGUGUAUAAGUCUCCUGGAAUGGAGCAUCACNGAGGGUGAGAAUCCCGUCUUUGACAUGGACCACCAGUGCAUUGUGGUUGUGCUCUCAACGAGUCGAGUUGNUUGGGAAUGCAGCUCUAAACGGGUGGUAAAUUCCAUCUAAAGCUAAAUAUUGGCGAGAGACCGAUANCGAACAAGUACCGUGAGGGAAAGAUGAAAAGAACUUUGGAAAGAGAGUUAAACAGUAUGUGAAAUUGUUGAAAGGGAAACGUUUGAAGUCAGUCGCGUUGGUUGGGGAUCAGCCUGACAUUGUUGGGUUUACUUCCUGGUCGACGGGCCAACAUCAGUUUUGACUGCCAGAAAAAGGCCAAAGGAAUGUGGCACCUUUGGGUGUGUUAUAGCCAUUGGUCGUAUAUGGUGGUUGGGACUGAGGAAAGCAGCGUGCCGAAAGGCCGGGUUUCGACCACGUUCACGCUGAGGAUGUUGGCAUAAUGGCUUUAAGCGACCCGUCUUGAAACACGGACCAAGGAGUCUAACAUGCAUGCGAGUGUUUGGGUGGAAAACCCUUACGCGUAAUGAAAGUGAAAGUUGA
rnacentral:rRNA from 1 species